rnacentral:rRNA from 1 species
UACGUAGGCAGCAAGCGUUGUUCGGAGUUACUGGGCGUAAAGCGUGCGCAGGCGGUUUGUUAAGUCCGCUGUGAAAUCCCCGAGCUCAACUUGGGAAUUGCAGUGGAUACUGGCAAGCUGGAGUAUGGUAGAGGAAGGUGGAAUUCCCGGUGUAGCAGUGAAAUUCGUAGAUAUUGGGAAGAACACCGGUGGCGAAGGCGGCGCUCUGGACCGAGACUGACGCUGAGGCGCGAAAGCGUGGGGAGCAAACAGG